CCUGACUGCUAUCGGAUUGAUACUAAGCCAUGCGAGUCAUUGUAGUAAUACAAGGCAGACGGCUCAGUAACGCGUAGUCAACCUACCCUAUGGACGGGGAUAACCUCGGGAAACUGAGAAUAAUACCCGAUAGAACAUUAUACCUGGAAUGGUUUAUGUUUCAAAUAAUUUAUUGCCGUAGGAUGGGACUGCGGCCUAUCAGUUUGUUGGUGAGGUAAUGGCCCACCAAGACUAUUACAGGUACGGGCUCUGAGAGGAGUAGCCCGGAGAUGGGUACUGAGACACGGACCCAGGCCCUAUGGGGCGCAGCAGGCGAGAAAACUUUGCAAUGUGCGAAAGCACGACAAGGUUAAUCCGAGUGGUUUCUGCUAAAGGAACCUUUUGUCAGUCCUAGAAACACUGAUGAAUAAGGGGUGGGCAAGUUCUGGUGUCAGCCGCCGCGGUAAAACCAGCACCUCAAGUGGUCAGGAUGAUUAUUGGGCCUAAAGCAUCCGUAGCCUGCUUUGUUAGUUUUCGGUUAAAUCCAUACGCUCAACGUAUGGGCUGCCGGAAAUACUGCAAAGCUAGGGAGUGGGAGAGGUAGACGGUACUCGGUAGGAAGGGGUAAAA
rnacentral:rRNA from 1 species